AACGAACGCUGGCGGCAGGCCUAACACAUGCAAGUCGAGCGCCCUUUCGGGGGAGCGGCGGACGGGUGAGUAACGUGUGGGAAUAUGCCCUUCUCUACGGAAUAGCCUCGGGAAACUGAGAGUAAUACCGUAUACGCCCUGUGGGGGAAAGAUUUAUCGGGGAAGGAUUAGCCCGCGUUGGAUUAGGUAGUUGGUGGGGUAAUGGCCUACCAAGCCGACGAUCCAUAGCUGGUUUGAGAGGAUGAUCAGCCACACUGGGACUGAGACACGGCCCAGACUCCUACGGGAGGCAGCAGUGGGGAAUCUUAGACAAUGGGGGCAACCCUGAUCUAGCCAUGCCGCGUGAGUGAUGAAGGCCUUAGGGUUGUAAAGCUCUUUCAGCUGGGAAGAUAAUGACGGUACCAGCAGAAGAAGCCCCGGCUAACUCCGUG
rnacentral:rRNA from 1 species